UCCGGAUGGGGAUCGCUUAUUGAAGAAGCUCGACUGAAGUCCGUCUGUAUUAGAAGUUCAGAAGAAAUUCAUUUAUAGUAGAAGCUCAGAUGGAAUUCGCUUACAGUAGAGAUCUGGAGUAGACCGCUUGCAGUAGAAGUUCGGAGUAGACUACUUGCGGUAGAAGUUCGACUGAAAUUUGAAAGAUGGUCGACCAUCGUAAAAAUUUGGAUGGAGUCUGGUUACUGUAGAAGUCCUGCUGCUAAAGAAGCUCGAUCAUUGACGAAGUUCAAAGGAAGUUCAGAGCAAAGUCGAUGUGGCUGGGAGCAGUCUGGAAGAGAUUUGGAGAAUAGUUGACCACUGUAGAGAAUCGGUUGAAAGUGAAGUUCAG
rnacentral:lncRNA from 1 species